rnacentral:rRNA from 1 species
UACGUAGGUGGCGAGCGUUGUCCGGAUUUACUGGGCGUAAUGGGAGCGUAGGCGGACUUUUAAGUGAGAUGUGAAAUACUCGGGCUCAACUUGAGUGCUGCAUUUCAAACUGGAAGUCUAGAGUGCAGGAGAGGAGAAUGGAAUUCCUAGUGUAGCGGUGAAAUGCGUAGAGAUUAGGAAGAACACCAGUGGCGAAGGCGAUUCUCUGGACUGUAACUGACGCUGAGGCUCGAAAGCGUGGGGAGCAAACAGG